UGUCCCUCUCAGGGGAGAAACUUUUGGGCCACAGCUUUUUUCUCAGCUAUAGCAAGGAAAGCAGAUAGGGAAAAGAGUAUCUUUUCAGUGUGUGUAUAUGUGGAGGUGAUGUGGCGAUGGUGUUGAAGAGAGAAAGAAAGAAGCUCAUCUCCCAAUAAAUUUUGUUCUGUAUUCUGAUUUUUUAAAACUUCAUAUAUGCCGGGCAUG
rnacentral:lncRNA from 10 species